rfam:Gossypium arboreum cultivar AKA8401 contig_53369_1, whole genome shotgun sequence.
AUCCUAUGAUGAGCACACUUACGAAAUAGUUCCUUGAAUCGUUCCCAAGCCUCAUACAAAGACUCAUCAUCCAAUUGUGGAAAAGUUAUUGUCUUAUUUCGCAACUU